rnacentral:lncRNA from 1 species
UGCACAUCCAUAUUCAUCUCAACCUUUUCACACUCCAAUAUUAACAUAAAAUAUACAACACUAGCGGAAAAAAAGGAGAGAGGAAAAAAACACACACGCAGACAACUGAAGAAAAAAAAAAAGAAACAAAGAAUAGAAAAAAGAAAAAAGACAAAAAGCUUAGAGGAAAAAAAGAUAAGAGCAACACAGCCUAGAAAAA